rnacentral:rRNA from 1 species
CCUACGGGGUGCUGCAGUGGGGAAUAUUGGACAAUGGGGGCAACCCUGAUCCAGCCAUGCCGCGUGUGUGAAGAAGGCCCUCGGGUUGUAAAGCACUUUCAGUGAGGAAGAACGCCUGGUGGUUAAUACCCAUCAGGAAAGACAUCACUCACAGAAGAAGCACCGGCUAACUCCGUGCCAGCAGCCGCGGUAAUACGGAGGGUGCGAGCGUUAAUCGGAAUUACUGGGCGUAAAGCGCGCGUAGGUGGCUUGAUAAGCCGGUUGUGAAAGCCCCGGGCUCAACCUGGGAACGGCAUCCGGAACUGUCAAGCUAGAGUGCAGGAGAGGAAGGUAGAAUUCCCGGUGUAGCGGUGAAAUGCGUAGAGAUCGGGAGGAAUACCAGUGGCGAAGGCGGCCUUCUGGACUGACACUGACACUGAGGUGCGAAAGCGUGGGUAGCAAACAGGAUUAGAUACCCCAGUAGUC